CCUUAAAAAUAACAGGAUUCCCAUAUUUCUUAGGAAGUAAAAGAAAAGAAUUUGGCUAUGUAAGGUGAUCUCUACUUUCCCCCACAUCUUAUUGUCAGGUAUAUGGAAGUGUAACAAUAAAGGUGAAUAUACUAUCAAACUAAUUACAGGAGCCUAAUAUUUUAUUCUCUCUCACUGUAUCAUUCUACUGAAAACAAACCCUGCAGCCUCCAAAACAAAAUCUGGAAAAGAACUUUUCCAUUUUUUCUUUGUUAAUAGCACUGUAAAUACAAAUUUUGAUCUAUCUUGCUUAUUUCCAUUUUUAAUCAGUUAGUCUGACAAAGCUUAUUUCUGAAUCAGUUAUUUGAUCAUUGCUUCUUCUUCUCCUAAUUGCUUAAUGAAUCUUUGUUUCUGGAAGUGUAUUUGUUGUACAAUAGUCAUCCCUAUUACUGGAAGCAACCAGUAAACACCAUACCCUAAGUUCCACUUGACAGAUAAGCAUAUUUAUAAAGAAUGUUCUGGAUGUGCAUGUACAACCCAUUAGACUUUCAUUUAUACUUUAGUAUCUGAAGCCAACCUAUAUUCCUAUUGCUGUGGUAAAAUGAUAAACUGAUAAUUUCUUCUUUCUAAAUGUUUAGAUUAUACUUAGGGAUAAUGGCUCCAUCCUAUGGUGGAAGAGAAACCUGCAUCAAAUCAAUUAGUUGCCCCUUUUGAAACAGGCUCAAUUUUUGUGGUAAAACCACUGCUUUGAACUUGAUGGCCUCUACAGUGUACUACCUGUCAAUGUGAGUACCAAACUGACACUGAGAUUGUCUCACCAGUUGUGGUGAGUUGUAGUCUGUCCCAAUAUGAUGUAUUGCAUAGAAGUCCUUGGCAUCAACAUAAGGAAUGUCUACUUACUGCUUUGAAUAUUGCAUUCAACCCUUUAAGGCUAAGUAAGCACCAUUACAAUUUCUCAAAUGUGUUUGAAUUCUGGCAAUUCAUACCUCCAUAAGUAUAACCACUGAUAUGGUUGGAUAAUGGGAAGUAGGUAGGGCGGGGAAACCAGAAGAAAAUGGAUAUUUUCAAUUAAAUAUGUGGUAGAGGAGUUUUUCAGCAGGAUUGACAGGACAGAGAUUGAGACCCCUUUGACAAUUUUUUUUUGCUGUUUAUGUAAUAUGCCAUAUUUUUCUUACCAUGUACUAUGAAAACAGUAUUGAGGGCCCUGCUGCUCCAGUUAAGAGUGUAAACGUGAGCUAGAUUAGAUUUUCUUUUAAUGGGGCCCCAUUAAUCUUUUGAUCUUUCCUUACUGACACUACUGAAGAAGCAGUAGAAAGUCCUUCACUGAGCUUAGCCCUUAGGAGUGGGUAUUUUCCCACUCAUUUUUCUCUGCUAGAAGGGGAUGGUAUGAAA